rnacentral:rRNA from 1 species
UACGAGGGGGGCAAGCGUUGUUCGGAUUUAUUGGGCGUAAAGGGUGCGUAGGCGGUUUGGCAAGUCUUGUGUGAAAUCUUUGGGCUCAACCCAAAGUCUGCAUAAGAAACUGCCGGGCUUGAGUAUGGGAGAGGUGAGUGGAAUUCCUGGUGUAGCGGUGGAAUGCGUAGAUAUCAGGAGGAACACCUGUGGCGAAAGCGGCUCACUGGACCAUAACUGACGCUGAUGCACGAAAGCUAGGGGAGCAAACAGG